CGGAAAACUAAGGCUGAGGCGUGAUGACGAGGCACUACGGUGCUGAAGCAACAAAUGCCCUGCUUCCAGGAAAAGCCUCUAAGCAUCAGGUAACAUCAAAUCGUACCCCAAACCGACACAGGUGGUCAGGUAGAGAAUACCAAGGCGCUUGAGAGAACUCGGGUGAAGGAACUAGGCAAAAUGGUGCCGUAACUUCGGGAGAAGGCACGCUGAUAUGUAGGUGAAGCGACUUGCUCGUGGAGCUGAAAUCAGUCGAAGAUACCAGCUGGCUGCAACUGUUUAUUAAAAACACAGCACUGUGCAAACACGAAAGUGGACGUAUACGGUGUGACGCCUGCCCGGUGCCGGAAGGUUAAUUGAUGGGGUUAGCGCAAGCGAAGCUCUUGAUCGAAGCCCCGGUAAACGGCGGCCGUAACUAUAACGGUCCUAAGGUAGCGAAAUUCCUUGUCGGGUAAGUUCCGACCUGCACGAAUGGCGUAAUGAUGGCCAGGCUGUCUCCACCCGAGACUCAGUGAAAUUGAACUCGCUGUGAAGAUGCAGUGUACCCGCGGCAAGACGGAAAGACCCCGUGAACCUUUACUAUAGCUUGACACUGAACAUUGAGCCUUGAUGUGUAGGAUAGGUGGGAGGCUUGGAAGUGUGGACGCCAGUCUGCAUGGAGCCGACCUUGAAAUACCACCCUUUAAUGUUUGAUGUUCUAACGUUGACCCGUAAUCCGGGUUGCGGACAGUGUCUGGUGGGUAGUUUGACUGGGGCGGUCUCCUCCUAAAGAGUAACGGAGGAGCACGAAGGUUGGCUAAUCCUGGUCGGACAUCAGGAGGUUAGUGCAAUGGCAUAAGCCAGCUUGACUGCGAGCGUGACGGCGCGAGCAGGUGCGAAAGCAGGUCAUAGUGAUCCGGUGGUUCUGAAUGGAAGGGCCAUCGCUCAACGGAUAAAAGGUACUCCGGGGAUAACAGGCUGAUACCGCCCAAGAGUUCAUAUCGACGGCGGUGUUUGGCACCUCGAUGUCGGCUCAUCACAUCCUGGGGCUGAAGUAGGUCCCAAGGGUAUGGCUGUUCGCCAUUUAAAGUGGUACGCGAGCUGGGUUUAGAACGUCGUGAGACAGUUCGGUCCCUAUCUGCCGUGGGCGCUGGAGAACUGAGGGGGGCUGCUCCUAGUACGAGAGGACCGGAGUGGACGCAUCACUGGUGUUCGGGUUGUCAUGCCAAUGGCACUGCCCGGUAGCUAAAUGCGGAAGAGAUAAGUGCUGAAAGCAUCUAAGCACGAAACUUGCCCCGAGAUGAGUUCUCCCUGACUCCUUGAGAGUCCUGAAGGAACGUUGAAGACGACGACGUUGAUAGGCCGGGUGUGUAAGCGCAGCGAUGCGUUGAGCUAACCGGUACUAAUGAACCGUGAGGCUUAACCUUACAACGCCGAAGGUGUUU
rnacentral:rRNA from 1 species